rnacentral:rRNA from 1 species
GUCGGUAAAACUCGUGCCAGCCACCGCGGUUAUACGAGAGGCCCAAGUUGACAGACAUCGGCGUAAAGCGUGGUUAAGGAAAAUUUAAACUAAAGCCGAACACCUUCAGGGCAGUUAUACGCAUCCGAAGGCACGAAGCCCCACCACGAAAGUGGCUUUAUGACUCCUGACCCCACGAAAGCUAUGACACAAACUGGGAUUAGAUACCCCACUAUG